rnacentral:rRNA from 1 species
ACGCUCGACACCUACGGGAGGCAGCAGUGGGGAAUAUUGCACAAUGGAGGAAACUCUGAUGCAGCGACGCCGCGUGAGCGAAGAAGUAUUUCGGUAUGUAAAGCUCUAUCAGCAGGGAAGAAAAAGGACGGUACCUGACUAAGAAGCUCCGGCUAAAUACGUGCCUGCAGCCGCGGUAAUCUGAGCGGGCUGGCAAGGC